rnacentral:sRNA from 1 species
GCUAUGCAUCCAACGCGUUGGGAGCUCUCCCAUAUGGUCGACCUGCAGGCGGCCGCACUAGUGAUUUCGCUCUUCAACGAGGAAUCCCUAGUAAGCGUAAGUCAUCAGCUUGCGUUGAUUACGUCCCUGCCCUUUGUACACACCGCCCGUCGCUACUACCGGUUGAAUGGCUUAGUGAGGUCUUCGGAUCGGCGAUUGAUGAGUAGCAAUAUUCGUCGGUUGCUGAAAAGUUGAUCAAACUUGGUCAUUUAGAGGAAGUAAAAGUCGUAACAAGGUUUCCGUAGGUGAACCUGCGGAGGGAUCAUUAUAAAAUUUUCAUAUAUUAAUUUAUUUAAUGUAUAAAAUAAUGUUUAUAUAUAUUCAAAACCCACACUCUUUUAAAACCAUUAUAUAAAAAAUAUUAUAAUUAUAAAAACAACUUUCAGCAACGGAUCUCUUGGCUCUCGCAUCGAUGAAGAACGCAGCGAAUUGCGAUAAGUAAUGUGAAUUGCAGAAUUACGUGAAUCAUCGAAUCUUUGAACGCAUAUUGCACUCUCUGGUAAUCCGGAGAGUAUGCCUGUUUGAGGGUCAGUAAAUAAUAAUUAUCAUGAAUCUUUUGAUUUAUGGAAUUGGGCUUUUAUUUCGAUAGAUCUAUGGCCUUAAAUUUACGUUACGGGCUUGUCAUUAUAAAAUCCGAUCUAAAGGAGCAAUUAAACAUUCUCUCAUUAGCGGAUUUUUACAAGCUGUUAUGAUUUUUGGUUGCUUUCAGCAUUUUUACGAGUGCGAAACCAAGAUCAUAAGUUUACUUUAACAAUGACCUCAAAUCAGGCAAGAAUACCCGCUGAACUUAAGCAUAUCAAUAAGCGGAGGAAAAGAAACUAACAAGGAUUCCCCUAGUAACGGCGAGUGAAGAGGGAAGAGCUCAAAUUUUAAAUCUGCCUUGUUUCAAGGUCGAGUUGUAAUUUGAAGAAGCGUUUUCUUGGGCUCGCGGCCGGUAGAAGUUCCUUGGAACAGGGCAUCAUAGAGGGUGACAAUCCCGUCUGUGACCGGUCGUGCGUUCAUCUACGAUACGCUUUCAAAGAGUCGAGUUGUUUGGGAUUGCAGCUCCAAAUGGGUGGUAAACAUCACCUAAGGCUAAAUAUUGGCGAGAGACCGAUAGCGAACAAGUACCGUGAGGGAAAGAUGAAAAGAACUUUGAAAAGAGAGUUAAAUAGUACGUGAAAUUGUUGAAAGGGAAACGCUUGAAGUCAGUCGUGCUGGCGCAAAAUCAACCCCCCCGUUGAGUGAUCACAUGCUGUGGUGAGCCUCAAAACCCCCCAGCAUGUGACCAUUCAACGGUCUGGUGCACUUUUGUGUCGGCUGGUUAACGUCAAUUUCUCACGUCAUAAAAAGGCUGGAGGGAUGUGGCUCCUUCGGGAGUGUUAUAACCUUUGGCGGAAUGUGGUGUUUGGGAUUGAGGAUUGCAACGAAUACCUUUAGGGCUGUUCCACCUGGCCUUUCGUUGGUAUCCUGGCGGCGACAGCUUGCUGACGUCGUUAGGAUUCGCCUUCGAACAGGCUAGAGUGUGAGCAAAUUCGUUAAGGAUGUUAACGUAAUGGCUUUAAACGACCCGUCUUGAAACACGGACCAAGGAGUCUAGCAUAUAUGCGAGUGUUAAUCCCGCGGCCAUGGCGGCCGGGAGCAUGCGACGUCGGCCCAAUCG